UCAGACCUGUGCUCUGCCGAUAUGUUUGAGGUUCGCAGCCAAGGGGAGAGGAGGAUCUGGAGAUUUUUCAUUUUCCCCCUGCCCCUGCCCCGCCACCCUCAGAGCCUCCCUUGUUACCCGCAUUCCCCACCAGAGUGGCCCAGUUGUUCCAGCCGAGGAACAUACGUGACGCAUCAUUAUCACCCAGAGGCCAGAGUUCACGCUAAGGUUCACUCUUGGUGUUGCGCAUUCUUUGGGUUUGAAAAACACGUUACGACACGGAUCCACGAUUAAAGUAUCAGACAGCAUCGUUUCAUGGCCCUGAAAAUCCUCUGCGCUCCACACAUUCAUACCUCCCUCCCUCCUCACCCUUGGCCAUUGCUGAUUUUUUUUCUUUUUUACUGUCUCCAUUUUGCUGCCCUUUCCAGAGCGUGAUAUAGUUGGAAUCAUACAGUAUGUAGCCUUUUUAGACUGACUUCUUUGUCUUAGUAGAAUGCAUUUAAGGUUCCUGCCUGUCCUUUCGCCAGUUGAUAGCUCAUUGCUCUUUAGCACUGAUGAUAUCCAUUUGCCUGGAUGGACCACAAUGUAUUCAGUCACUUAGCUGCUGCAGGACAUCUUGGCCGCUUCCGCGUUUGGGCAUAGAGGAGUAAAGCUGCCGUAGGGGCACCUGGGUGGCUCAGUCGGUUAAGCGUCUGACUCUUGGU